CCCCUGCCGGAGCGGGGCCGCCCGGGUCCUAGCGCCGCCACGUGACCCCGUUCCCGGCGCUACGGGUCGGUCGGCGCAGGGGCUCCCCGGCCGCGUGCAGCCCGGCUCCGCGGCGCGCCGGGGCGGUGGAAGGGCGCCCGCUCGAAGCGGAGCCCCGGGGGGGGCCUGGGGCCGCGCAGGCCGUCGCGCGGGACACCGGCACGAGCUUCCUGAGGCACUCGCGGGGCGCCACGCGGGGCUGGGUCCAGCCCGCAUGGGAUGUUGCCCUAGCUGCCCAAAGGAGCCAUGGGCUUUCAUGAACAGAUUGGCCUCUGUAGCUGAGGUUUGUCCUGUGCUGCCAUUUCUGUUUUCCACGGAGCGAUCACGGUUCCUUUGUUGUUUCUUCACAUAAGAAGGACUUCUAUGAGCUUCCUUGCUUUUUAAAUUCAGGUUAGUUGAAGGUAAUUGCAUAAGAGCAACAAAGUGUUGUGGAGCUUCUGAAGCAAGUGGUACAGUGCCUGCAGCCCAGCAAAAUUGGUGGAGUCCAGCAACUGAAGACACUUUUUGUCUCUACAGCAGAGAAGGCUAACGGUAUCCUGUCUACCAAAUAGAAGAGUACAUGGCUGGCUCAUGGGCAAUUUGUUGUCCAUCAAGACCCCAGUCUGUAUCAAUGCAUGGGCGUUAUUCCUUGCCAGGUUCAGUACUUUGCAUUUUCCUCUGUUGAUCUUCAUGAAAUUCAUGGAUUGUUUCCAUUAAAGAUGGAGUAUAGGUGUAGUGAAUCUAUUAACUUUGCUAUUCACAUCAGUAAAAACAGCAAGAGAAUGCUGACAAUUUUUACCCAGUCAGGCUUACAAAGAGGAAAAAGUG